AGCGAACGCUGGCGGCAGGCUUAACACAUGCAAGUCGAGCGGGCGUAGCAAUACGUCAGCGGCAGACGGGUGAGUAACGCGUGGGAACGUACCUUUUGGUUCGGAACAACACAGGGAAACUUGUGCUAAUACCGGAUAAGCCCUUACGGGGAAAGAUUUAUCGCCGAAAGAUCGGCCCGCGUCUGAUUAGCUAGUUGGUGAGGUAACGGCUCACCAAGGCGACGAUCAGUAGCUGGUCUGAGAGGAUGAUCAGCCACAUUGGGACUGAGACACGGCCCAAACUCCUACGGGAGGCAGCAGUGGGGAAUAUUGGACAAUGGGCGCAAGCCUGAUCCAGCCAUGCCGCGUGAGUGAUGAAGGCCCUAGGUGUAAGACUCUUUGUUGCGGGAAGGAUAAUGACGGUACCGGCAAGAAUAAGCACCGGCUAACUACCGUGCCAGCAGCCG
rnacentral:rRNA from 1 species